AUUGAACGCUGGCGGCAGGCCUAACACAUGCAAGUCGAACGAGUGGCGGACGGGUGAGUAAUGUCUGGGAAACUGCCUGAUGGAGGGGGAUAACUACUGGAAACGGUAGCUAAUACCGCAUACCAUCAGAUGUGCCCAGAUGGGAUUAGCUAGUUGGUGGGGGAAAGGCUCACAAAGGCGACGAUCCCUAGCUGGUCUGAGAGGAUGACCAGCCACACUGGAACUGAGACACGGGCCAGACGCAGACGGGAGGAAGCAGUAGGGAUUAUUGCACAAUGGGCGCAAGCCUGAUGCAGCCAUGCCGCGUGUAUGAAGAAGGCCUUCGGGUUGUAAAGUACUUUCAGCGGGGAGGCGUUACCCGCAGAAGAAGCACCGGCUAAUUCCGUGCCAGCAGCCGCGGUAAUUC
rnacentral:rRNA from 1 species